rnacentral:sRNA from 1 species
GCGCAAUUUCGGGCGACCACCAGUACGC